rnacentral:rRNA from 1 species
AUGGAUGUCCAACUGUCUCAGGAUCCAGAUAGGUUGUUUUGGAAAUUGACAAAGGACGGUAGGUUCUCGGUUAAAUCCAUGUAUCUGGAUGUCAUUAAUACUAGUGUCAUUCCUUGCUCCAGACAUGUCUGGAAAGUUAAGGUACCUUUGCGAAUUAAAGUGUUUAUGUGGUUUGUGCAUAAAAAAGUAAUUUUGACAAAGGAUAAUCUGGCAAAACGCAAUUGGGUGGGUUCUGCUAGAUGUAGUUUCUGCGAUUGUAAUGAAACUAUCAGGCACCUCUUUCUGGAUUGUCCACUGGCUAAGCUUCUUUGGCGUUCGAUUCAUAUUGCCUUCAAUAUUAUUCCACCUACUUCUAUCAAUAUGUUGUUUGGAACAUGGCUUGAUGGGGUAGACUUGAUUUUAGCAAGACUCAUUCGUGUUGGCGCGUGUGCCUUGUUAUGGGCAGUAUGGAACUGCAGAAAUGAUUUGGUUUUUAACAGAGCAACGAACUUUCAUUUUUUGCAGGUUAUCUUCAGGGCCACAGCGUUGAUCCGUAUGUGGUCGCUACUCACUCCGAUGGAGGACAGGGGGCAUUUGGCUACUGCGUCUACCCGAUGGGAGAUGGUAGCUCGGGUUAUUUUCAACCGGUUUGGAUGGCGGUCAUGUAAUAGGAUAGGCAUGUAG